CAUUAAGAAGCUUUCAUGUAAGCGGCAGCCUU
rnacentral:tRNA from 1 species